AGCAUAUCAAUAAGCGGAGGAAAAGAAACCAACAGGGAUUGCCUCAGUAACGGCGAGUGAAGCGGCAACAGCUCAAAUUUGAAAUCUGGCCGCAAGGUCCGAGUUGUAAUUUGUAGAGGAUGCUUUUGGCGAGGUGACUUCCGAGUUCCCUGGAACGGGACGCCAUAGAGGGUGAGAGCCCCGUACGGUCGUGCCACCGAGCCUCUGUAAAGCUCCUUCGACGAGUCGAGUAGUUUGGGAAUGCUGCUCUAAAUGGGAGGUGUACGUCUUCUAAAGCUAAAUACCGGCCAGAGACCGAUAGCGCACAAGUAGAGUGAUCGAAAGAUGAAAAGCACUUUGAAAAGAGGGUUAAAAAGUACGUGAAAUUGUUGAAAGGGAAGCAUUCAUGACCAGACUUGGGCUUGGUUGAACAUCCGGCGUUCUCGCCGGUGCACUCUGCCAGCUCAGGCCAGCAUCAGUUUGCCCCGGGGGACAAAGGCGGCGGGAAUGUGGCUCCCUACGGGGAGUGUUAUAGCCCGUCGUGUAAUGCCCUGGGGUGGACUGAGGUUCGCGCUUCGGCACGGAUGCUGGCGUAAUGGUCAUCAAUGACCCGUCUUGAAACACGGACCAAGGAGUCGUCUUCGUAUGCGAGUGUUCGGGUGUCAAACCCCUACGCGUAAUGAAAGUGAACGUAGGUGAGAGCUUCGGCGCAUCACCGACCGAUCCUGAUGUUCUCGGAUGGAUUUGAGUAAGAGCAUACGGGGCCGGACCCGAAAGAAGGUGAACUAUGCCUGUAUAGGGUGAAGCCAGAGGAAACUCUGGUGGAGGCUCGCAGCGGUUCUGACGUGCAAAUCGAUCGUCAAAUAUGGGCAUGGGGGCGAAAGACUAAUCGAACCUUCUAGUAGCUGGUUUCCGCCGAA
rnacentral:rRNA from 1 species